rnacentral:rRNA from 1 species
CCCUUUGAUACUCUGGGCGGUACGCGCGCUACACUGGUUUAUAUAACGUGUAAUUUGGACGAUAGUCUGUAUAAAUCACUAAUAUAAAACCGUGAAUGGGAUAGUUUAUUGCAACUUACAAACUUUAACUAGGAAUCCCUUGUAGAAGUAGUGAAUUAUACUGCUUCGAAUACGUCCCUGCCGAUUGUACACACCGCCCGUCGUUUCUUCCGACUGGUACUCAUUGUGAAUUGCGAGGAGAUUCUGUCAAAGCGUUGUAAAUGCUGGGUAUUGGAGGAAGAAAAAGUCGUAACA